UCACACCAUGGGAGUGGGUUGCAAAAGAAGUAGGUAGCUUAACCUUCGGGAGGGCGCUUUCCACUUUGUGAUUCAUGACUGGGGUGAAGUCGUAACAAGGUAACCGUAGGGGAACCUGCGGUUGGAUCACCUCCUUACCUUAAAGAA
rnacentral:rRNA from 1 species